CCAGGGCCAUGUCUGACAACUUGACUUUGUUACUUCAUAGUAGAAGGUGUCUGAGACUGUUUUUUGAUAUCAUCUUGACAUAGGAGUUGGUUGGUUAAAGGACAAGCAUCGCCCAGACAUUGAUGGAGCCAGAGGGCCUAUCCUGGACAUCAUGUGCAGAGAAGAUGGAUCCCGGGAGCUGCUGGAGCCAGUAGGACCAGCCAUACAGAGGAGAUGGAUGCAGGCAGCUGAUGGAGCCAGGAGGACCAGCCAUGAAGUGGAGAUAGAUGCAGGCACCUGAUGGAGCCAGGAGGACCAGUCAUGAAAUGGAGAUGGAUGCAGUCAGCUGAUGGAGCCAUGAGGACCAGUGAUGCAGAGAAGAUUGAUCCAAGGAACCAAUGGAAUCUGGAGGACCAGACAGGCCUAUGUGUCAGGGAGGCAGAUACAUAGAACAGUUCAGUUAAGAAGUAUCCCAGACAGACUCCCUCUAUUGACCUAGAUCUCCAACAUGUCCUCCCACCUGUGGAUGAGAUUCAUUACACUAAGGAAGUCAGUGGUCCUGUCUUACCUUAAUAUUGUAGUUUAUUUUCUCCUGGAUUUUAGAGCUAGGGAUUUAUUAUGUUCUCAUCUGAGAAAAGCCAAACAAUAAUCUAGUUGUUGUCUAA